UCAUACUGCCAAGAGAAGAAAUAUCAGGUUGCAUUAGAAAUAAGCAGACUUUGCCAUGGGUCCAAGAGUUAAGCAGACUAACUACCUCCAGAUAUACAGUACAGUCCUUUGGAACAUUUUGUACUCUGUUACAGCAAAGAAGGACACACCACUGGAAGACCUGAAGGAUGAGGACUGAGAGAGAGAUUGGCCCCGUGGCACGACAUAACUGCGAAAGUCAAAAAUGUGCCGACAACACCGCGGCGCUAAAACAGCGAAAGUCAAAAGCAAGCGACAACAGCUCGCCGACAACGCGCCGACAGAAGUGCGAUUUAACUUAAGCGUUCAUCAAAUCACCCUGUUAUGCAUGUUACUGUUGGAAACAGUGCUCCACGAGAAUUCAGACAUAAAGUGGAAGUUUCCCAAGACAGACAUGUGGACAUCCCUUACAACAUCUGCUGGAAGCACAUCAGGGCAGAACAUGUGAACGCCACUUACCAAG